GAUGAACGCUGGCGGCGUGCCUAAUACAUGCAAGUCGAGCGAACAGACGAGGAGCUUGCUCCUUCGACGUUAGCGGCGGACGGGUGAGUAACACGUAGGUAACCUACCUAUAAGACUGGGAUAACUUCGGGAAACCGGAGCUAAUACCGGAUAAUAUUUCGAACCGCAUGGUUCGAUAGUGAAAGAUGGCUUUGCUAUCACUUAUAGAUGGACCUGCGCCGUAUUAGCUAGUUGGUAAGGUAACGGCUUACCAAGGCAACGAUACGUAGCCGACCUGAGAGGGUGAUCGGCCACACUGUAACUGAGACACGGUCCAGACUCCUACGGGAGGCAGCAGUAGGGAAUCUUCCGCAAUGGGCGAAAGCCUGACGGAGCAACGCCGCGUGAGUGAUGAAGGUCUUCGGAUCGUAAAACUCUGUUAUUAGGGAAGAACAAACGUGUAAGUAACUGUGCACGUCUUGACGGUACCUAAUCAGAAAGCCACGGCUAACUACGUG
rnacentral:rRNA from 1 species